GAGCGGCGGACGGGUGAGUAAUGUCUGGGAAACUGCCUGAUGGAGGGGGAUAACUACUGGAAACGGUAGCUAAUACCGCAUAACGUCGCAAGACCAAAGUGGGGGACCUUCGGGCCUCAUGCCAUCAGAUGUGCCCAGAUGGGAUUAGCUAGUAGGUGGGGUAACGGCUCACCUAGGCGACGAUCCCUAGCUGGUCUGAGAGGAUGACCAGCCACACUGGAACUGAGACACGGUCCAGACUCCUACGGGAGGCAGCAGUGGGGAAUAUUGCACAAUGGGCGCAAGCCUGAUGCAGCCAUGCCGCGUGUGUGAAGAAGGCCUUCGGGUUGUAAAGCACUUUCAGCGGGGAGGAAGGCGGUGAGGUUAAUAACCUUGUCGAUUGACGUUACCCGCAGAAGAAGCACCGGCUAACUCCGUGCCAGCAGCCGCGGUAAUACGGAGGGUGCAAGCGUUAAUCGGAAUUACUGGGCGUAAAGCGCACGCAGGCGGUCUGUCAAGUCGGAUGUGAAAUCCCCGGGCUCAACCUGGGAACUGCAUUCGAAACUGGCAGGCUAGAGUCUUGUAGAGGGGGGUAGAAUUCCAGGUGUAGCGGUGAAAUGCGUAGAGAUCUGGAGGAAUACCGGUGGCGAAGGCGGCCCCCUGGACAAAGACGGACGCUCAGGUGCGAAAGCGUGGGGAGCAAACAGGAUUAGAU
rnacentral:rRNA from 1 species